CUAUUUGUAUUUUUAACACCAUUCUCCCCCACCUCUUUCCUGGGUGACAUAAGCAUAAGAGAGAAAUAACCGGUAGUACAGCAGCUAAAGUAUUCUCCUUUCAGAGAAUUUUUUUGGAGGUCUCUAAUAUAUAUUUCCCCCUUGUUUCUGUGAUCUCUUUUAUACUAUAUUAUUGUCCCAUGUACUUUCUAAAGUGAGCUUGGGACAUUUAGUAUUCCUGCAAUUGGACUUUGCACUUGACAGUUAUACAGACUUUCCUUUUAGAAAUAGAUGAGGUUCCAAACAGAAAGUUCAAGUGUAACAAUAACAAUAAGAAUAAAUAGAUUAGGAAAUAGGCCAUAAUUUGCUCUUUUGGAUUUGGUAGGGGCAAGAUGAAAGGCAACUUUCUUGCUUUUGAAAUCAUGUUGGAUAAGAGGUAAGGAAUCCAGCUACAAUUUUAUUAGUGCUUGAAACGGGCUUCCUUGAAUUCUGCAGGCCCUAUCAUUUUUUUUUUUUUUUUCUUACUAAUCAGAAGAGAGCUGGGAUAGAAGCCCCAUCUUUGUAUUCCAUGAAACACGUUGGGUUGGAGUAAAGGCAAAAACAGCUAGACAUACCAGGUGUGUCUGUUUGUAUUGAUAUUUAUAAGCUGGCACUCGUCAACACUCCUGUUUCUCCUGUGCUCCCUUCUCUGGGAAGAAGUAUGGGUUAAGGGGUGUGAGUUGUGGGAAGAAUUGUCCUCGUACCUCCUGGAUUUAUUAUGUUUCUCAAAUACCAACCAGUAAGAUCCCAAAUAACUUGAGAAAAAUUGUUUCCUGAUCUGUCCACUUCUGGUGUCAAAGAUUUUACUCAUCUUCUUAGUACAUUCUAUGUAUUUUAUAUGUAUAAUUUUAUACAAUUAAAAAUAGAUUUUUGUCUAGUGA